rnacentral:rRNA from 1 species
UACGUAGGGGGCAAGCGUUGUCCGGAUUUAUUGGGCGUAAAGCGCUCGCAGGUGGUUCGAUGCGUCGUGCGUGAAAGACCCCGCUCAACUGGGGGGUGUCGUGCGAUACGGUCGGACUGGAGGCCAGUAGGGGGAUGCGGAAUUCCGGGUGUAGUGGUGGAAUGCGUAGAGGAUCCGGAGGAACACCAGCGGCGAAGGCGGCUCACUGGUCCAUUACUGACGCUGAGG